rnacentral:lncRNA from 1 species
UCAAAGUAAAAGAAGAGAAUAGAUGAAGAUAGAAAGAAUGAAGAGGGGAGCUAAGGAAAUCACAUAGGGAUCAAUCUAUCAACAAAUCAAAGGACUCAAAAUAUGGCGCAUCAAGGGGUAAUCUAUCAUUGAUGCAAAAUGUUGAAGAUGAUUCAUGAUCAUCUACCAACAUGUUUGAAUUAAAGAAGGUUGAAUCAACCUCAAGUCCAUAUAUCAAUGAUUUGAAAUAUGGAAGAUCUCAUCAACCAAGCAAUCAAUUUAAAUUAAAACAUCAAGUCAAUAACAAAAAGAAAUAAAAAAUGAUUUAUAAUUGAU